CCUACGGGAGGCAGCAGUGAGGAAUAUUGGUCAAUGGGCGCGAGCCUGAACCAGCCAAGUCGCGUGAGGGAAGACGGUCCUAUGGAUUGUAAACCUCUUUUGUCGGGGAGCAAAAGACGCCACGCGUGGAGUUCCGAGCGUACCCGAAGAAACAGCAUCGGCUAACUCCGUGCCAGCAGCCGCGGUAAUACGGGGGAUGCGAGCGUUCUCCGGAGUUAUUGGGUUUAAAGGGUUCGCAGGCGGAAGAUCAAGUCAGCGGUAAAAUUGAGAGGCUCAACCUCUUCGAGCCGUUGAAACUGGUUGUCUUGAGUGAGCGAGAAGUAUGCGGAAUGCGUGGUGGAGCGGUGAAAUGCAUAGAUAUCACGCAGAACUCCGAUUGCGAAGGCAGCAUACCGGCGCGCAACUGACGCUCAUGCACGAAAGUGUGGGUAUCGAACAGGAUUAGAUACCCUAGUAGUC
rnacentral:rRNA from 1 species